rnacentral:rRNA from 1 species
GACGAACGCUGGCGGCGUGCUUAACACAUGCAAGUCGAACGGAAAGGCCCUGCUUUUGUGGGUUGGUCGAUUGGCGAACAGGUGAGUAACACGUGUGUAUCCUGCCCCUGUCUUUGGGAUAACUUUAGGAAACAGGGGCUAAUACCGGAUAUGAGCUCCUGCUGCAUGGUGGGGGAUGGUAAGAUUCGGCGGUUGGGGAUCGUCUAGCGGCUUAUGAGCUUGUUAGGGGGGUAGUGGAUUACCAAGGUUAUGAAGGGUAGGCGGCCUGAGAGGCUUGACAGCCACAUGGGGACUAAGAUACGGCCCAGACUCGUACGGGAGGCAGCGGUGGGGAACAUGACACAAUGGGCGGGAGCCUGAUGCGGCAACGUCGGGUGCGGGAUGACGGGCUUCGAGUUGUAAACCAAUGUGGCAUGUGACGAAGCGUGAGUGACGGUAAUGGGUAAAAAAGCACCGGCUAACUACGUG